rnacentral:lncRNA from 1 species
CCUCUGUUCUCUUUCUCUCCUGCAGCCUGUCCUCUGUUCUCUUUCUCUCCUGCAGCUCCUCUCUUAGUGAGGUCAGGUUGUUAUUACUGUUCUGCCUGUCUUUUUGGAGCUCUCUCACCUCCUUUGUUAGAUCAUCCAGCUCUCUCUUGAGUCCGUCUCUCUCUUGCUGAACCUCUUUCAGCUGUGUUGCAAGGCUGCUGUCCUGUUCUGUCCGCACCUUGGUUAGGCGCUCCUCUAAGGUGUGAUUGAUGUUAACACCUUGGUUAGGAGCUCCUCUAAGGUCUGGUUGAUGUUAACACCUUGGUUAGGAGCUCCUCUAAGGUCUGGUUGAUGUUAACACCUUGGUUAGGAGCUCCUCUAAGGUCUGGUUGAUGUUAACACCUUGGUUAGGAGCUCCUCCAAGGUCUGGUUGAUGUUAACUCCUUGGUUAGGAGCUCCUCCAAGGUCUGGUUGAUGUUAACUCCUUGGUUAGGAGCUCCUCUAAGGUCUGGUUGAUGAUAACACCUUGGUUAGGAGCUCCUCUAAGGUCUGGUUGCUGUUAACACCUUGGUUAGGAGCUCCUCUAAGGUCUGGUUGAUGAUAACACCUUGGUUAGGAGCUCCUCUAAGGUCUGGUUGAUGUUUACACCUUGGUUAGGAGCUCCUCCAAGGUCUGGUUGAUGUUAACUCCUUGGUUAGGAGCUCCUCUAAGGUGUGGUUGAUGUUAACUCCUUGGUUAGGAGCUCCUCUAAGGUGUGGUUGAUGUUAACUCCUUGGUUAGGAGCUCCUCUAAGGAGUGGUUGAUGUUAACACCUUGGUUAGGAGCUCCUCCAAGGUCUGGUUGAUGUUAACACCUUGGUUUGGAGCUCCUCUAAGGAGUGGUUGAUGUUUACACCUUGGUUAGGAACUCCUCUAAGGUCUGGUUGAUGUUAACACCUUGGUUAGGAGCUCCUCUAAGGUCUGGUUGAUGUUAACACCUUGGUUAGGAGCUCCUCUAAGGUCUGGUUGAUGUUAACACCUUGGUUAGGAGCUCCUCUAUGGUGUAGAUGUCUGGAUGCUGUUUGCUCUCCCUCAGCAGGACCACCUCCCACUCCACUCUGGUGAUCUCAUCCCUCAUGGCAGCCAUGGUGGUGAGGAGGGCCUGAGCCUGCUCUGCACUGAAGGGUCGCUACUCUUACCUGGCACCAUGACAGUCCCAGUCUGUUUCAAACAGCCUAAUGUUACCUGGCACCAUGACAGUCCCAGUCUGUUACCUGGCACCAUGACAGUCCCA